GCAGCGAGAUUUCAGUUGGUUAGAAUACCGGCCUGUCACGCCGGGGGUCGCGGGUUCGAGUCCCGUCCGCUGCGCCA
rnacentral:tRNA from 1 species